ACCGUUAUAUGUCAGUAAGAAGCCAACGAAUGAGGUUCUACGCACAUCAGCAUCACCGCAGGUGUAUCUGCAGCAGCACUUUGGAAUUUACACCGUACGGCAUCGGCACCGCACAAUACCUGUGCGCACGAUCUACUUGCUUAUAUUCGCACAAAGUUGGAAUUGGGAUAGGGGGUGCUGGUGGUCUAUGAAUGUGGCCGAGCGUGCCCCCCACCACAACAUCUGCCUCUGUGCCUGUGGGGACUAUGCGCUGCACAACCCUGAAUGCACUGGCCGGUGGUUUGCGAGAACAGGG